GGUCGCUCAGAUGGAAGAAAACAAAGGCAGCGACCGUCCUGCGGUGCAGGGCAGCCACAGAGCUGCCCCUGCGGAGAGGAAAACACAAGCAGGACAUUUAAGACCUGCAUUUUGCUUCAGACCACAUUCCUUCUACUUUCUUGAAAAAUGAGGACCAUGAGGACUCUGCCUCCGUGGACCUGGGUAUGUGCUGUGGACGGAGGAGCCAGGGCAGCAGCAGGGAGGGCUGACCUUGCAGCACAGGGGGAAGCGGCUGCCAGCUCCGGUUUGAUGGCAGUCGGUGUUUGUGUUACAGCUGUAUCUAGAGCUGUACAGACUCUGGCCUUGACACCUUGCAAGCUGCUGUGAAAAUUCUGCAUAAUUGGGUGACUUCAAGACAGGACUAUAUCGUGCCCCAUUCUUGCAUUAGUGACUUGCCAUGUCCCACGCCAGCCUGCUCAGUGAGGUGGCUUUCCCACCCUUGCUGCCUCUGCUCCUGCCCCCUUCCAUGCUGCCCUGAAGCUCCCUCUCAGGGCUGGUGAUCAUUCCCUUUCCCUGGACUCCUAACUCAAACUGCACGUCUUUCUCCUCCUGCCCUGGGCUACCUGCUCCUCAACUUCUGCUUUGGUUUAAAAAUGGUUUAAAAAUAUAUCCAAGUAUAUACAAUGUGUUUGCAACAUCCUUUGAGUCAGAAUAUUGUUUGUUGUUGCAACCUCUCUCCACGUUACCUUCCUCUU